ACGGCUCAGUAACACGUGCCCAACCUACCCUCGGGAGGGGGAUAACCCCGGGAAACUGGGGAUAAUCCCCCGUAGGCCUGGGAUUCUUGGAAGUGGGCCCAGGCCGAAAGGGGCCGUUAGGCCCGCCCGAGGAUGGGGGUGCGGCCCAUCAGGUAGUAGGGGGUGUAACGGACCCCCUAGCCGACGACGGGUACGGGCCCUGGGAGGGGGAGCCCGGAGAUGGACCCUGAGACACGGGUCCAGGCCCUACGGGGCGCAGCAGGCGCGAAACCUUCGCAAUGCGGGCAACCGCGACGAGGGGACCCCGAGUGCCGGGGCCUACUGGGUCCCGGCUUUUCCGGAGUGUAAACAGCUCCGGGAAUAAGGGCUGGGCAAGUCCGGUGGCAGCCGCCGCGGUAAGACCGGCGGCCCGAGUGGCGGCCGUGUUUAUUGGGCCUAAAGGGUCCGUAGCCGGCCCCGUAAGUCUCCCGGGAAAUCGGGCGGCUCAACCGUCCGCUUCCGGGAGAUACUGCGGGGCUAGGGACCGGGAGAGGCCGGGGGUACUCCCGGGGUAGGGGUAAAAUCCUAUAAUCCCGGGGGG
rnacentral:rRNA from 1 species